rnacentral:rRNA from 1 species
UACGUAGGGUGCAAGCGUUAAUCGGAAUACUGGGCGUAAAGCGUGCGCAGGCGGUCUUGUAAGACAGAGGUGAAAUCCCCGGGUUCAACCUGGGAACUGCCUUUGUGACUGCAAGGCUUGAGUGCGGCAGAGGGGGAUGGAAUUCCGCGUGUAGCAGUGAAAUGCGUAGAUAUGCGGAGGAACACCGAUGGCGAAGGCAGCCCCCUGGGUCGACACUGACGCCUCAGGCACGAAAGCGUGGGGAGCAAACAGG